rnacentral:rRNA from 1 species
GUGGGGAAUCUUGCGCAAUGGGCGAAAGCCUGACGCAGCAACGCCGCGUGGGGGAUGAAGGCUCUCGGGUUGUAAACCCCUUUCAGCAGGGACGAAUCAAGACGGUACCUGCAGAAGAAGCCCCGGCUAACUACGUGCCAGCAGCCGCGGUAACACGUAGGGGGCAAGCGUUGUCCGGAUUUAUUGGGCGUAAAGAGCUCGUAGGUGGCUGAGUAAGUCGGAUGUCAAAUCCCCAGGCUCAACCUGGGAUCCCAUCCGAUACUGCUCUGGCUAGAGUCCGGUAGGGGAGCGUGGAAUUCCUGGUGUAGCGGUGAAAUGCGCAGAUAUCAGGAGGAACACCAGCGGCGAAGGCGGCGCUCUGGGCCGUAACUGACGCUGAGGAGCGAAAGCGUGGGGAGCGAACAGGAUUAGAAACCCCAGUAGUCC